ensembl:lncRNA novel transcript
CACACCGUGAGCUGCUGAGACGGCACCCGCGUGAGUGUCGCAGUUUCCACACCGUGAGCUGCUGAGACGGCACCCGCGUGAGUGUCGCAGUUUCCACACCGUGAGCUGCUGAGACGGCACCCGCGUGAGUGUCGCAGUUUCCACACCGUGAGCUGCUGAGACGGCACCCGCGUGAGUGUCGCAGUUUCCACACCGUGAGCUGCUGAGACGGCACCCGCGUGAGUGUCGCAGUUUCCACACCGUGAGCUGCUGAGACGGCACCCGCGUGAGUGUCGCAGUUUCCACACCGUGAGCUGCUGAGACGGCACCCGCGUGAGUGUCGCAGUUUCCACACCGUGAGCUGCUGAGACGGCACCCGCGUGAGUGUCGCAGUUUCCACACCGUGAGCUGCUGAGACGGCACCCGCGUGAGUGUCGCAGUUUCCACACCGUGAGCUGCUGAGACGGCACCCGCGUGAGUGUCGCAGUUUCCACACCGUGAGCUGCUGAGACGGCACCCGCGUGAGUGUCGCAGUUUCCACACCGUGAGCUGCUGAGACGGCACCCGCGUGAGUGUCGCAGUUUCCACACCGUGAGCUGCUGAGACGGCACCCGCGUGAGUGUCGCAGUUUCCACACCGUGAGCUGCUGAGACGGCACCCGCGUGAGUGUCGCAGUUUCCACACCGUGAGCUGCUGAGAUGGCACCCGCGUGAGUGUCGCAGUUUCCACACCGUGAGCUGCUGAGAUGGCACCCGUGUGAGUGUCGCAGUUUCUACACGUGCCUCAUUGCGUGUAAGAUGCUCAAGUGAGAGGAAGCUGGUGAACGGGUCUGUGGGAAGUUGCAGUACUGUCUUUGCAACUCUUCUGGACAUCUUUUUUUUUUUUUUAAAUAAAACAUUUUUAACGUGAAAAUAUGCAGAGCACGGUGGCUCGCACCUGUAAUCCCAGCACUUUGGGAGGCCGAGGCAGGUGGAUCAUGAGGUCAGGAGUUCAAGACCAGCCUAGCCAACAUGGUGAAACCCCAUCUCUACUAAGAAUACAAAAAUUAGCUGGGCGUGGUGAUGGGCAUCUGUAAUCCCAGCUACUCGGGAGGCUGAGGCAGGAGAAUCACUUGAACCCGGGAGGCAGAGGUUGCAGUGAGCCGAGAUCGCGCCCCUGCACUCCAGCCUGGGUGACAGAGCAAGACUCCAUCUCAAAAAAAAUAAAGGAAAUAUGCGUCGUUGGAUGCUGUAUGACAAUCAAGCUACUUAUAACAAACAAAAUUGAGAAUGAAGGAUUAUGAUCCAAACUCAGCUGGGCCUCCCCUACCUGCCCCAGGAUUGUGGAGUGAGAACGUUGCAGCAGGGGAGAACAACGCAGCAAAGCACAGCAGGGGAACCGGAAAUGCUCACCCUUUGACAGGGUACUUUUAGUUCUGGGGCCUUAUCUUAAGGAUAUUCCAACAUAUACAAAAAGAUUCAUGCACAGAGAUAUUUACUUUAGUAUUAUUUACCAUAGGAAAAAAGUUGGAAACAAUACAUUUUAUGUUCUGUAAAAUGAAAGAACAGUUAAAUAAAUCAUGGCUCUAAGACGACUCCAGGGCUGUGUACGGAAGUUCAGGGACUGAAUCAGUUGAGGCUGUUCCACCUGAGCCUAAGCUUCCUCUGCUGUAUGUCAGGAAUCAGGUGGGGGCCAAGCGAGAUCACCACAGUGCAGGCCAGUGUGCAGGGCACAGGUGGGCGCC